UAUUCUAAGGCGCUCGGGUGACCCAUCCUUAAGGAACUCGACCAAUUGACCCCGUAACUUCGGAAGAAGGGGUGCUCCUGGUGGUCAGUGGACUUGCUCCACAAAGCUGCUGGGAGUGGCACUGAACUGGUUCAGGCGACUGUUUAAUAAAAACACAGGUCUCUGCAAAGUCGUAAGACGACGUAUAGGGACUGACGCCUGCCCAAUGCUGGAAGGUUAACGGGAGAGGUUAGCGCAAGCGAAGCCUUGAACCGAAGCCCCAGUUAAUGGCGGCCGUAACUAUAACGGUCCUAAGGUAGCGAAAUUCCUUGUCGGGUAAGUUCCGACCUGCACGAAUGGCGUAACGAUCUGAACAUUGUCUCAAGGAUGGGCCCGGUGAAGUUGUAAUACCAGUGAAGAUGCUGGUUACCCACAAUAGGACGGAAAGACCCCGUGCACCUUUACUAUAGCUUGGUAUUGGGUUUAGUUGUAAUUUGUAUAGGAUAGGUGGGAGGCUAUGAAGCUGGCGCGUCAGCGUCGGUGGAGCCAACCUUGGAAUACCACCCUGAUUAUUACUGAAUCCUAACCUCGAUCCCGUGAAUCCGGGCGAGGAACAGUGCCUGGUGGGUAGUUUGACUGGGGCGGUCGCCUCCCAAAGAGUAACGGAGGCGCCCCAAGGUUCCCUCAGCACGUUUGGAAAUCGUGCGCAGAGUGUAAUGGCAUAAGGGAGCUUAACUGCGAGACCAACAAGUCGAGCAGGUACGAAAGUAGGGCAUAGUGAUCCAGCGGUACCAUAUGGAAGGGCCGUUGCUCAUCGGAUAAAAGGUACGCCGGGGAUAACAGGCUUAUCUCCCCCAAGAGUUCAUAUCGACGGGGAGGUUUGGCACCUCGAUGUCGGCUCGUCACAUCCUGGGGCUGUAGCAGGUCCCAAGGGUUCGUCUGUUCGCCGAUUAAAGUGGCACGCGAGCUGGGUUUAAAACGUCGUGAGACAGUUUGGUCCCUAUCCAUUGCGGGCGUAGGAGAUUUGAGGGUAGUUGCCCCUUACGAGAGGACCGGGGUGAACGAACCUAUGGUGAUCCGGUUGUCACGCCAGUGGCAUCGCCGGGUAGCUAUGUUCGGACGGGAUAAGCGCUGAAAGCAUCUAAGCACGAAGCCCCACUCAAGAUAAGAUCUCCCCUGAGCACAAGCUCACUAAAGAGUCCUGGAAGACUACCAGGUUGAUAGGCUGGAGGUGUAAGCGUAGCAAUACGUUCAGCUGACCAGUACUAAUCGCUCGUGAGGCUUGGUCAU
rnacentral:rRNA from 1 species